rnacentral:rRNA from 1 species
CCUACGGGGUGCAGCAGUGGGGAAUAUUGCACAAUGGGGGAAACCCUGAUGCAGCGACGCCGCGUGAGUGAAGAAGUAUUUCGGUACGUAAAGCUCUAUCAGCAGGGAAGAAAAUGACGGUACCUGACUAAGAAGCCCCGGCUAACUACGUGCCAGCAGCCGCGGUAAUACGUAGGGGGCAAGCGUUAUCCGGAUUUACUGGGUGUAAAGGGAGCGUAGACGGCAGCGCAAGUCUGGAGUGAAAUCCCAUGGCUUAACCAUGGAACUGCUUUGGAAACUGUGCAGCUAGAGUGCAGGAGAGGUAAGCGGAAUUCCUAGUGUAGCGGUGAAAUGCGUAGAUAUUAGGAGGAACACCAGUGGCGAAGGCGGCUUACUGGACUGCAACUGACGUUGAGGCUCGAAAGCGUGGGGAGCAAACAGGAUUAGAUACCCCUGUAGUC